rnacentral:rRNA from 1 species
GACGAACGCUGGCGGCGUGCUUAACACAUGCAAGUCGAACGGAAAGGCCCUGCUUUUGUGGGGUGCUCGAGUGGCGAACGGGUGAGUAACACGUGAGUAACCUGCCCUUGACUUUGGGAUAACUUCAGGAAACUGGGGCUAAUACCGGAUAGGAGCUCCUGCUGCAUGGUGGGGGUUGGAAAGUUUCGGCGGUUGGGGAUGGACUCGCGGGUUAUCAGCUUGUUGGGGGGGUAGUGGCUUACCAAGGCUUUGACGGGUAGCCGGCCUGGGAGGGUGAACGGCCACAUUGGGACUGAGAUACGGCCCAGACUCCUACGGGAGGCAGCAGUGGGGAAUAUUGCACAAUGGGCGGAAGCCUGAUGCAGCAACGCCGCGUGCGGGAUGACGGCCUUCGGGUUGUAAACCGCUUUCGCCUGUGACGAAGCGUGAGUGACGGUAAUGAGUAAAGAAGCACCGGCUAACUACGUG